GAUGAGUGGGGAAGAGCCACCAGUAUGCCUAGCUUAAAGAGAAAGCUUAAAGAUGAACCCUUUCCUUGCCUCAAGGCAACAACUGUAAGAAAAGGGCCAGACAAAGCAGAAGCAGCUAAACUUCCAUUUCCACCCAAACUGCAACCAAGUAAUGUUUUUUACUUUCUUUUUACAAAUACCACAGCAAAUAAAGCACCAUAUGAAAAGGAAAUACAAUUUAGGGGUGUGUGAUAUACAAUUCUAAUUUUAUGGGAUUUUGUUGAUAAUAUUUUAGAGUUUGUUUUGUGCUAGUACGCUUUUGAUAUUCUUCAUAUUCUGUGCACAGUAAAAACAAUGGA